GCUCGCCAGUUUUAAACAUACUAUAACUAGUCAUUCUUUUUUGCUUUUUGUCUUGAAUUCUAUAUGGAUACUUCUUGCACAAAUGCGUAAUAUGAUUCCACAAUGUAUUAGUUCCACAGCUUUUUGCAUGAUGCUUAUAUGUUUGUCCACAAUAAUUACAUUCUGCCUUCUCAUCUUCUCGAAUUUUAAAAUGAUCUCAUACCUCGGACCUUUUGUUUCCCUUUUUACCUUUACCAUCCAUUUUGAUAUCUU
rnacentral:lncRNA from 1 species